rnacentral:rRNA from 1 species
UACGUAGGGUGCGAGCGUUAAUCGGAAUUACUGGGCGUAAAGCGUGCGCAGGCGGUUUUGUAAGCCAGAUGUGAAAUCCCCGGGCUUAACCUGGGAAUGGCAUUUGGGACUGCAAGGCUUGAGUGCGGCAGAGGAGACUGGAAUUCCUGGUGUAGCAGUGAAAUGCGUAGAUAUCAGGAAGAACACCCGUGGCUAAGGCGGCUCUCUAGUACGGUACUGACGCUGAGACGCGAAAGCGUGGGGAGCAAACAGG